GGCGGGUUGGCGGAGUGGUUACGCAGCGGAUUGCAAAUCCGUGCACACCGGUUCGAUUCCGGUACCCGCCUCCA
rnacentral:tRNA from 2 species